rnacentral:lncRNA from 1 species
CAGUCUUACAAGAAAUUGACGUUGAUCAAAACAUUCUAGGAACUGCUGUCUAUUCUCUCCAGACCUAAAUCCUGUGUUCAGGUGAAUAUUUAUUAGAUUUUGGCAGAGAUCUUUGAUCAAAUUUACACUUGUUCCAGCUAGGUAUCCAAGUAAAUUCAAAAUUGUAAUAUUUCUUCUUCUACUAUAUUUUAAUAUUAUCUUGAUUUUAUAAUAACUUAUUUUGAGAUAUUAUUUAUAGAUCAUGUGAAACUCUCCGAAGCCUGCACCCAUUUCUUGCCACCAUUGCUGCUGGAGGAAGGACAACUGAAAUAAUGUUUAUCUGGUUUUGUCUAAACACUAAAAGCAGAACAUCAGACUGAGUAAAUGGUACUCUUUGCACUUCCUUUCUCAGGUCAUUCUACAGCAAAAGUUUUCCUGGGUGAUCUAUUUGUUACAAGGACAAGUUUUAAUUUCUCACUGUGGCACUAGGGAGCUGAGGAAACCUUCUUGACACCACCUCUGCUGUGUCCAAUUUAAAAUUUCCAGAAGAUUUUGGAGGAACCAAAGAACAUUCUGGAGCAAAAGGUCACUCUCAGUCACGAAUACUUAAAUGAAUGCUUGCAUUAUUUCACAUCCUCACAACAAUCUCCAGUAAUUUCAUUUCCUUCUAUCAGCUUUUGUUCUAAUGUGGAAGUGCAAGUGAGUACUGGCACAGCCUUUAUUAUUAGAAAAAAACAACAAAUAAGAUCUGAGCUGAAAUUAAAUGAAGUAAAAGGAUAUUGGACUUCAUGGAAAACUUUGAGCUUAAGCAAAAGUGAACGUCAGGCAUGGCUGAGUAGGUAGGUACUGAGAUAUCAUUAUAUACUGCUAAUCUGGACACAUUGAAUCUGUCUGUAUCAGGCAAGUCCAAAUUGUUUUGAUUCAGUAAUGAGAUUGGAAAUACUUUCUAACGCCCUCUGCUAAAAACUAUUUAAGCUAUUUUGCUUUCAAUGCUGAGGUCUUCCACAGUUAGGGAAGUCCAUCUAGCCUUUCAGGGUGCCUGCAGACAUAAACCCAUACUGGAUACAUUGCUAUGCCAUGCUGGUUUGAAAGUGGAGGCACCUGGAUGAAGGCCUAUAUGUGGAG